UACGUAGGGUCCGAGCGUUGUCCGGAAUUACUGGGCGUAAAGGGUGCGCAGGCGGUUUUGUAAGUCAGAUGUGAAAUCCCCGGGCUCAACCUGGGAAUGGCAUUUGGGACUGCAAGGCUAGAGUGUGGCAGAGGAGACUGGAAUUCCCGGUGUAGCAGUGAAAUGCGUAGAUAUCGGGAGGAAUACCGAUGGCGAAGGCAGGUCUCUGGGCUGACACUGACGCUCAUGCACGAAAGCGUGGGGAGCAAACAGG
rnacentral:rRNA from 1 species